rnacentral:tRNA from 1 species
UCUCCCAGCAAUAAACCCAGGCGGUGUGCCCGAGCGGCCAAAGGGAGCAGACUGUAAAUCUGCCGGCUCAGCCUUCCCAGGU